UUCUCCGUAAUAAUAUCAUUCCCUUGUUUCUCAUUAACUUUCUCAGGUUGAUUUUUCUGCUUUAGUCUCAUUUUAUCAUUCAUUUUCUUCAAUUCAUCAUUUCAAUAGGUUGAUUUUUCUUCCAAAAACACAACACAUUUCAGCAUGUUGAUGCAUUACUAACAAGUUUACAUUUUUUUUUACAUACUGAAUUUUAUCAUUCAUUUUCUUACAUGAAUGAGAGGUCCAUUACUAACAAGUCUACUGGACCUCUUUGUAGACAACUCCACUGUUAACAAGUCCAGAACAAGAAGUAAUGGGCAUGGAAAGAAAAUCCAUGUACCAAAAUUCACAAUGAAACAAAGUUUGGAAGAAAACAGAGCAAGAAAAUUCAUGUACCAAAAUUCAUGUACCAAGAACUCUACUGUUAAGCUUGGAAGAAAACAGAGCAAGAAAUUUUUUUUGAAAAAUAUGUUCUGAGCAAGAAAAUCCUACCAAAAAUGCAAAUUUUUUUGAAAAAUCACAACUACGUCGCUGGAAAAGGAUUAAUAAAAAUAAAAAAUCAAAAAAUCUGACCUUUUCUUGCUUGUCAAUGGAGGAGAUUUGGGGAUCUAGGGCUUAGGAACGGAGAAGAUUUGGGUAUCUACGACUUGGGUAAACAAAGUUU